AAAAGUUCUAAUAAAAUUAACUCAAAUUUACCGUUUAAAAUGCUUUAAAUAAUGUCUUACAAAGUUUUCAGUGCAACUGAAUUAUGGCAACGAGAAACCAGUUUUCCGUCUAUUCCUACGUUUAGCCAAAGUCUAGACAGUUGCUUAGGCAGCAAUGGAAUCCAGUUAGGUUGCCUGACUGAAUUACUUGGCCUUCCAGGCACUGGAAAAACACAGUUAUGUUUACAGCUUUGUGCCUCUGUCCAAGUACCAAGUGUUUUAGGGGGACUGAAUGCUGAAGCACUUUAUGUUGAUACCAAUACAAAUUUUACACCGCAAAGAUUUAAAGAAAUAGUUUCUGCAAGCCAGACAAAAUGCCAGCAACUAUUGGAGACUCCGAUAGAAUCAAACAAGGACCCACUGCACAGGUUGCACUACAUAAAUGCAUUUGGACUCGAAAAGUUUUGUGCUACUAUGUACAGAAUGCCUUCAGUCAUUGAGGACCAUCCACAAAUAAAGCUAAUCGUAAUAGAUUCAAUAACGUUUCCAUUCAAAGAGGGCAUAACACCGAGUCAAAGAACUGGCUUGCUGUUCAGGCAGAUGGCUGAUCUUCAGCGACUGGCAGUAGAAAAACAAAUUGCUGUAA